rnacentral:rRNA from 1 species
GACGAACGCUGGCGGCGUGCUUAACACAUGCCAGUCGAACGCUGAAGCUUGGUGCUUGCACUGGGUGGAUGAGUGGCGAACGGGUGAGUAAUACGUGAGUAACCUGCCCUUGACUCUGGGAUAAGCCUGGGAAACUGGGUCUAAUACUGGAUACGACAUGUCACCGCAUGGUGGUGUGUGGAAAGGGUUUUACUGGUUUUGGAUGGGCUCACGGCCUAUCAGCUUGUUGGUGGGGUAAUGGCUCACCAAGGCGACGACGGGUAGCCGGCCUGAGAGGGUGACCGGCCACACUGGGACUGAGACACGGCCCAGACUCCUACGGGAGGCAGCAGUGGGGAAUAUUGCACAAUGGGCGGAAGCCUGAUGCAGCGACGCCGCGUGAGGGAUGACGGCCUUCGGGUUGUAAACCUCUUUCAGCACGGAAGAAGCGAAGGUGACGGUACGUGCAGAAGAAGCGCCGGCUAACUACGUG